rnacentral:rRNA from 1 species
UACGUAGGUGCAAGCGUUGUCCGGAAUUAUUGGGCGUAAAGAGCUCGUAGGCGGUUUGUCGCGUCUGCUGUGAAAACCCGAGGCUCAACCUCGGGCCUGCAGUGGGUACGGGCAGACUAGAGUGCGGUAGGGGAGAUUGGAAUUCCUGGUGUAGCGGUGGAAUGCGCAGAUAUCAGGAGGAACACCGGUGGCGAAGGCGGGUCUCUGGGCCGAUACUGACGCUGAGGAGCGAAAGCGUGGGGAGCAAACAGG